AUUUGCCACAAAGUCUGAAUGUUUCAACUGACCUCAGCUGUGAAAGCUUAUCGGAGAGUUGCACCCUCCUAGGGUAGCUCCUUCAGACACAUCUCUGUUAAUGUUGGCAAAAGAAAUUAAGAGGAGCCCCUGUGACUUCCUGUUGCUGCUUGGUUUUCACAGACCCAUACAGAAGUCCUUGUGGUUUACUCAAGGUUACAAAUAAAUUAAACAAAACAGAAACUUGGAGGAAAGAGACUUCAGUGCUGAAAUACUUGGCUUUGUUUCUGACAAGUUAUUCUGGAUCAGAAAAGUCUGAAUCCUGAAGGAGAAAGACACACAGCUCUACUUAUCUCAUGAGAAAAUCUACAGUUAAAACUGUCCAAGUUUACAAAGGAAUCAGAAAUAAAGUGUCCACAGAGGAUGAGGAGGAGAGGCACAGACAGCAAAGAGACAAAGUAGUCAAUAGACUUUCCCUAACAGGUUAUUUCUGAAUCCUGGAACCAUGGAGGAGCCAUGAUUUCAGGUGGAGCAGCUGUGGAUUGAGAUGGAGGAUGCAUCCUGUGAAAGAAGUUGCAGAGUCAGACGGAGAGAGAUUGGCAGGCAUACCGUCAUGUGAAUGAGGUAAAUAUACCAGAUCUGUCGUGGCCAUGAUGGAGAUAUAAGGAUGACAUGGGCUUAGUCCCCUGGGAUCUUGUGGAGUACUCGGAACAGAAGGGGGAAGGGAGGAAAGGCAUAGAGUAGCAGUGCAUCCCAUGUGAUCAGGAAUGUAUCUGAUCUGUGUCCUAAGCCCGCUCUUGAGCAAAAUUGAGGGCAGUGGCCAUUCUCUGGUGUGGGAAAGAGAUGUGUGGUGGAGAAUCCCCAGUGGUUGAAGAUGUGCUGAAGGGCUAACGUAUCUAGUUCCCACUCAUGAUUGUGGGAGAAUCUCCUGCUUAAUGAGUCCAUGGUGAUGUUCUGGAUCCAGGAAGGUAUGCGGCUGAGAUGGUGAUGCCGUGUUGGAUACACCAGUUCCAUAAUUUCAGUGCCUCCAAACAUAGAGAAUGGGAACUCGCUCUACCUUGUCUGAUGAUGUAGAAUAUGCAGGCAAUAUUGUCCAUCAUGAUUCUAAUAGUGCAGUGUGCGAUCAGUGGGAGAAAGCAUCGGCAGGCAUUGUGGACUUCUCAUAGCUCUAGGAGGUUGAUGUGUAGGGCGGAUUCAGUUAAGGACCAUCUGCCCUGCACUGUAUGAGUGUGAAUGUGCACUCCCCAACUGAUUAAGGAGGCAUCAGUUAUUAGAAUCAUGGACGGCAUUGGUUGAAGGAAAGGGACCCCAACACAGAUGUUCUUGAACUGUGUCCACCAGAGUGAUGAGUUCUUGACCUUCAUAAGCAGGAUAGGAGCUUGGGAAGGCUAUGUCUGUGAGGCACAUAGACUGUACGUAGCCAAGCCCAGAGCCAAGCCUCAUGUGUAACCGUGCGUACUUCACCACGAACAUGACCAUUGCCAUGUGGUCGAGUAGCUUGUUACUCCGGGUUCUUUCAACCCAAAGCGCUUGGUAACUUUUACUCUGUGCGAGGUGGUGUCAGGAAAUAAAUCAGGGGAGACACGGCAGUCUGACCGAUAGAUGGCUGGCACAAA